UUUAUAUGAGUUUUCUCAGAAUGUUUCUCAGCUUGUUGUGACUCUGGUUUCACUGUUUCCUUGGCUGGUACACUUAUACCAGUUCGCUCUGAAGGUUUCUCAGCUUGUGAUUCUAGUUUCACUGUUUCCUUGGCUGGUUGACUUAUACCAGUUCGUUCUGAAGGUUUCUCAGCUUGUGAUUCUAGUUUCACUGUUUCCUUGGCUGGUUCACUUAUACCAGUUCUUUCUGAAGGUUUCUCGGUUUGUGAUCCUAGUUUCAUUGUCUCCUUUGCUGAUUCACUUAUACCAGAACGCUCUGAAGGUUUCUCAGCUUGUGAUCCUAGUUUCACUGUCUCCUUUGCUGAUUCACUUAUACUAGUUCCCUUUGAAGGUUGCUCCGCUUCUGAUUCUAAUUUCACUGUUUUCUUGGGUGGUUCACUUAUACUAGUUACCUCUGAAGGUUUCUCCGCUUCUGAUUUUAGUUUCACUGUUUCCUUGGCCGGUACACUUAUAAUAGUUACCUCUGAAGGUUUCUCAGCUUGUGAUUCUAGUUUCACUGUUUCCUUGGCUGGCUCACUUAUAAUAGUUACCUCCGAAGGUUUCUCAGCUUCUGAUUCUAGUUUCACUGUUUUCUUGGUUGGUUCACUUAUACCAGUUACCCCUGAAG
rnacentral:lncRNA from 1 species